UGGAACGCAUCCUGGAGAAUGGGAGG
rnacentral:piRNA from 1 species